rnacentral:rRNA from 1 species
CCUGGCUCAGGACGAACGCUGGCGGCGCGCCUAACACAUGCAAGUCGAACGAGCGAGAGAGAGCUUGCUUUCUCAAGCGAGUGGCGAACGGGUGAGUAACGCGUGAGGAACCUGCCUCAAAGAGGGGGACAACAGUUGGAAACGACUGCUAAUACCGCAUAAGCCCACGGCUCGGCAUCGAGCAGAGGGAAAAGGAGCAAUCCGCUUUGAGAUGGCCUCGCGUCCGAUUAGCUAGUUGGUGAGGUAACGGCCCACCAAGGCGACGAUCGGUAGCCGGACUGAGAGGUUGAACGGCCACAUUGGGACUGAGACACGGCCCAGACUCCUACGGGAGGCAGCAGUGGGGAAUAUUGCACAAUGGGGGAAACCCUGAUGCAGCGACGCCGCGUGGAGGAAGAAGGUCUUCGGAUUGUAAACUCCUGUUGUUGAGGAAGAUAAUGACGGUACUCAACAAGGAAGUGACGGCUAACUACGUGCCAGCAGCCGCGGUAAAACGUAGGUCACAAGCGUUGUCCGGAAUUACUGGGUGUAAAGGGAGCGCAGGCGGGAAGACAAGUUGGAAGUGAAAUCCAUGGGCUCAACCCAUGAACUGCUUUCAAAACUGUUUUUCUUGAGUAGUGCAGAGGUAGGCGGAAUUCCCGGUGUAGCGGUGGAAUGCGUAGAUAUCGGGAGGAACACCAGUGGCGAAGGCGGCCUACUGGGCACCAACUGACGCUGAGGCUCGAAAGUGUGGGUAGCAAACAGGAUUAGAUACCCUGGUAGUCCACACUGUAAACGAUGAUUACUAGGUGUUGGAGGAUUGACCCCUUCAGUGCCGCAGUUAACACAAUAAGUAAUCCACCUGGGGAGUACGACCGCAAGGUUGAAACUCAAAGGAAUUGACGGGGGCCCGCACAAGCAGUGGAGUAUGUGGUUUAAUUCGACGCAACGCGAAGAACCUUACCAAGUCUUGACAUCCCUUGACGAUGCUGGAAACAGUAUUUCUCUUCGGAGCAAGGAGACAGGUGGUGCAUGGUUGUCGUCAGCUCGUGUCGUGAGAUGUUGGGUUAAGUCCCGCAACGAGCGCAACCCUUAUGGUCAGUUACUACGCAAGAGGACUCUGGCCAGACUGCCGUUGACAAAACGGAGGAAGGUGGGGAUGACGUCAAAUCAUCAUGCCCUUUAUGACUUGGGCUACACACGUACUACAAUGGCGUUAAACAAAGAGAAGCAAGACCGCGAGGUGGAGCAAAACUCAGAAACAACGUCCCAGUUCGGACUGCAGGCUGCAACUCGCCUGCACGAAGUCGGAAUUGCUAGUAAUCGCAGAUCAGCAUGCUGCGGUGAAUACGUUCCCGGGCCUUGUACACACCGCCC